rfam:Solanum lycopersicum cultivar Heinz 1706 chromosome 11, whole genome shotgun sequence.
GUUCAAAUAAGGGAAGGCUUACGGUGGAUACCUAGGUCCUAGAGACGAGGAAGGGCGUAGUAAUCGAUGAAAUGCUUUGAGGAGUUGAAAAUAAGCAUAGAUCCGUAGAUUCUCGAAUAGGCAACCUUUUGAACUUCUGCUGAAUCCAUGGGCAGACAAGAGAUAACCUGGCGAACUGAAACAUCUUACUAGCCAGAGGAAAACAAAGCAAAAGCAAUUCCCGUAGUAGCGGUGAGCAAAAUGGGAGUAGUCUAAACCGUGAAAAUGGGGUUAUGGGAGACAAAUACAAGCAUCAUGAUGCUAGGCGAAGCAGCCUGAAUGCUGCACCUUAGAUGGCGAAAGUCCAGUAGCAUGGGGCACUAGCUUACACUCUGACCCGAGCAGCAUGGGGCACAUGAAAUCCCGUGUGGAUCAGCAAGGACCACCUUACUAGGCUAAAUACUCCUGGGUGACCGAUAGCAAAGUAGUACUGUAAGAGAAUGGUGAAAAGAACCCCCAUUGGGAAGUGAAAUAGAACAUGAAACCGUAAUCUCCUAAGCAGUGGGAGGAGCUACGGCUCUUACCACGUGCCUGUGAAGAAUGAGCAUGCGACUCAUAGGCAGUGUCUUAAUUAAGGGAACCCACCUGAGUCGUAGUGAAAGCGAGUCUUCGUAGAUCUAUUUUCACAGCUUAUGGACCCAAACCUGGGUGAUCUAUCCACGACCAGGAUGAAGUUUGGGUGAAACUAAAUGGAGGUCCGAGCCGACUGAUGUUGAAAAAUCAGCGGAUGAGUUGUGGUAAAGGGUGAAAUUCCACUCGAACACAGAGCUAGAUGGUUCUCCCCAAAAUGCGUUGAGGCGCAGCAGUUGACUGGAAAUCUAGGGGUAAAGCACUGUUUCGGUGAGGUCUGGGAGAGCGGUACCAAAUUGAGGCAAACUCUAAAUACUAUAUAUGACCUCAAAAUAAUAGGGGUCACUGUCGGCUAGUGAGACAAUGGGGGAUAAGCUUCAUCGUUGAUAAAGAAACAGCCUGGAUCACCAGCUAAGGCAGCUAAAUGACCGAGCAGUGCUAAAAGAGGUAGGCCCUUAAAUAGCUCACCGAUCCAGCGCUCUUGCACCGAAGAUGAACGGGGCUAAGCGGUCUACCGAAGCUGUGGGAUGUAAAAAUACAUCGGUAGGGGAGCAUUCCGCCUUAGAGAGAAGCCUCCGCGUGAGCGGUGGUGGAUGAAGCGGAAGCGAGAAUGUCGGCUUGAGUAACGCAAACAUUGGUGAGAAUCUAAUUCCCCAAAAACCUAAGGGUUCCUCUGCAAGGUUCGUCUACAAAGGGUGAGUCAGGGCCUAAGAUUAGGUCAAAAGGCGUCGUCGAUGGACAAUAGGUGAAUAUUCCUGUACUGCCCCUUGUUAGUCCUGAGGGACGGAGGAGGCUAGGUUAUCCAAAAGAUGGUUAUCGGUUCAAAAACGUAAGGUGUCCCUUAUUUUUCAGCGUAAGAAGGGGUAGAGAAAAUGUCUUUAGCCAAUGUUCGAAUACCAGGAGCUACGACGCUGAAGUAACCUAUGUCAUACUUCUAGGAAAAGCUCGAACGACGUUAAGCAAGAGGAUACUUGCACCCAAAACCGACACAGAUGGAUUGGUAGAGAAUACCUAGGGGCGGAACUCGGCAAAAUAGCCCCGUAACUUUGGGAGAAGGGGUGCCUCCUCACAAAGGGGGUCGUAGUGACCAGAAACCACGUCUCCGCAAAGUUGUAAGACCAUGUAUGGGGGUUGACGCCUGCCUAGUGCCGGAAGGUCAAGGAUGUUGGUGACCUGAUAAGAGGGAUCCGACGAUCGAAGCCUCGGUGAACGGCGGUCGUAACUAUAACGGUUCUAAGGUAGAGAAAUUCUUUGUCAUGUAAGUUUGACCUACACGAAAGGCGUAACGAUUUGGGCACUAUAUUAGAGAGAGGCUCGGUGAAAUAGACAUGUUUGUGAAGAUGGGGACUACCUGCACCUGGACAGAAAGGCCCUAUGAAGCUUCACUGUUCCCUAGGAUUCGCUUUGGGCCUUUCCUGCGCAGCUUAGGUGGAAGGCGAAGAAGGCCUCCUUCUGGAGGGCCCAAGCCAUCAGUAAGAUACCACUCUGGAAGAGCUAGAAUUCUAACCUUGUGUCAGGACCUACAGGCCAAGGGACAGUAUCAAGUAGAUUGUUUCUAUGGGGCGUAGGCCUCCCAAUAGAACGGAGGUGUGCAAAGGUUUUCUCGGGCCGGAUGGACAUUGGACUUCGAGUGCAAAGGCAGAAGGGAUCUUGACUGUAAGACCCACCCGUCAAGCAGGGACGAAAUUCGGCCUUAGUGAUCCGACGGUGCCGAGUGGAAGUGUCAUCGCUCAAUGGAUAAAAGUUACUCUAGGGAUAACAGGCUGAUCUUUCCCAAGAGCUCACAUCGACGAGAAGGUUUGGCACCUAGAUGUCGGCUAUUCGCCACCUAAGGCUGUAGUAUGUUCAAAGGCUUGGGCUGUUUGCCCAUUAAAGCGGUACGCGAGCUAGGUUUAGAACGUUGUGAGACAGUUCGGUCCAUAUUUGGUGUGGGAGUUAGAGCAUUGAGAGGACCUUUCCCUAGUAUGAGAGGAUCGGGAAAGACGUACCUCUGGUGUACCAGUUAUCGUGCCCACAGUAAACGCUGGUUAGCCAAGUGCAGAGCGGAUAACUACUGAAAGCAUCUAAGUUGUAAGCCCACCCGAAAAUGAGUUCUCUCCUAUUCCGACUUCCCCAGAUCUUACGGUAGCACAACCGAGACAGCGAUGGGUUCUCUGCCCCUACGAGGAUGGAGCGACAGAAGUUUUUUUGAGAAAUCAAGAGAAGUUCAAAGCGAGAUGAGCCAUUUAUCAUUACGAUAGGUGUAAAGUGGAAGUGUAGUGAUGUAUGCAGCUGAGGCAUCCUAACAGACCGGUAGACUUGAACCU